rnacentral:rRNA from 1 species
CUACGGGAGGCAGCAGUGGGGAAUAUUGCACAAUGGAGGAAACUCUGAUGCAGCAACGCCGCGUGGAGGAUGACACUUUUCGGAGCGUAAACUCCUUUUAUAUAGGAAGAAGAUGACGGUACUACAUGAAUAAGCGCCGGCUAACUCCGUGCCAGCAGCCGCGGUAAUACGGAGGGCGCAAGCGUUACUCGGAAUCACUGGGCGUAAAGAGCGUGUAGGCGGAUUAAAAAGUCAGAAGUGAAAUCCUAUAGCUUAACUAUAGAACUGCUUCUGAAACUCCUAAUCUAGAAUAUGGGAGAGGUAGAUGGAAUUUCUGGUGUAGGGGUAAAAUCCGGAGAGAUCAGAAGGAAUACCGAUUUCGAAGGCGAUCUACUAGAACAUUAUUGACGCUGAGACGCGAAAGCGUGGGGAGCAAACAGGAUUAGAUACCCGCGUAGUC